GUCCACCCGAAAAAACCUUAGAAACCCACCAGUACGCACAAAACAAAACACACUUUACCCAUGGCCGCAUUAUCCAAUUUCGGGCAUCUCGCUGCCUUAAGUUUCUUCAUUUUGUUCUUGGAAUCAUUGUUCGGUAACUAGCCUCUCCUUUUCAAAUUUGAAUUUCAAAUUCAACGUCUUAAUUUCAAUAUUUCCAGAAGACUAGCAGUAUCUUCUGCUCUCUCUCUCUCUCUCAAAAAUACUUCCACUUGAUAUAAUUUCCAGGGAGCAGAUAAGGGCGACGACGAUGAUGAUGGAAAUGAUUAGUAUUACUUGGACGAUGAGCUCGUGCCGUGCAAUGUGAGCGAUAAGGUCGGGAGGCAGAGGAUGAGGAAGUUGGGGAAGAGGGCGUUUCCAUAGAUGCACAACUCCAAGAGGUCUCCUUAUCUGUUUGUGACGCCUGGUUGUGUGCGUGGAAAGCAUGGUCUGGGUUUGACUUGGCUUAGUUUAUCUGGUUGCUGUGUAAUUCACUUGUUAUCUUUCAUUGUCGAUGAAGAUCAUUAACUUUUAAUGGAAAACUUGAUUGGUUAUUAAAAAAAAAAAAAAAAAAAAGCACGGCCAGUCUGUAAAUACUGAAGGUUGAACGAAGAGCUCAGUAGAAUUCUUCCACAAUUGGAGAUGAUGCGGAAAAGGAAAUCUGAGAGAGGAAAUCAAUUCCUAGAAGUCCAAGAGAAGAUACAGAACAUCUCAAACGAGAUCUACGGAUCCACAGGGUAUACUUAUUUCAUCCAUGUUGGUAGUAGAUGAACGUGAUUUGUCUUUGAGAAAGCUUGAGGAGUUGCACAGAGAGCUGCAUGAACUUCUGAAGCAAUGGUUGAUGCGAUGGCUUCAAAAAUCCUGGCAUGGGAAGGAAAGAGGCAUUGAGUUCACAUAUGAUGGUGAUGAGAACCGAUCGAUACAAUGCUGGAAGAGGUGCGCAUCUUACUCUCAAGCGUGCUGAGAAAGCUUGCUCUUUGGUUAAUAAACUUCCAGGUAUACUCUGAUCAUAUAGCUUGUCAGCCUUAAUCUUGAAUUCGCAUUUAUGUGAGUUCAUUAAUUAGAAUUAUUUUAUUAGUAUCUAUAGGAUUAACUAAUUUGGCUGGUUUUCAUUGAAGUUAUGAUUCUUUAGUUUAUGAGUUUGCUCAAGAAGAAGCCAAAUAUAUUAUAUUAUAUAUAUAUAUCAUAAUAGUUAUAAUCUUUCUACUUUAUUAUUUCUGUUGAUUGCUUCCUUUUUGUGCCCACCUAUUGCUGUUGUUUCUUUACUUACUAGUUGCCAUUCCCCCGCAUACUUUUUGCUGGUAACUCAAAAUUUCUGUCCACGUGGUUUGUGUACGGCAAUGGUUGAUGCAUUGGCUUCAAAAAGAGGGAAAGGGGCAUUUAGUUGACAUAAGAAGGUCUAAGUACGCUCCCUAUUCUUCAAGGUGUUGGGUGUUUAAAUAGUUGGUCUUACUUGAUAACUUUUUUUUUUCCUUUUAAGAAAGAGAUGAAGAUCACCUGCCCAUGAGUGAUCCCCUUCCAAUUUUAUUAAAAAAAACCCUAACUUAUGGCGGAGGAAUACCGUGGUAACAAAAACAUCCCAAUUUCAAAUGCAAGACCUAGCCCCACAAAAAUUAGCAUCUAUUGUCGGGGAAACCCCAACUAUCCAAACGUAAAAGACCUCUAAGUCUUCCUGUACCAAAAUAUUCUCCAAAAAAAUUUAGAGACCCACUAUUAGCACCAAGUUUAGCUAAAG